rnacentral:tRNA from 1 species
GGGGGUGUAGUUUAAUUGAAAAAACAUAUGUUUUGCAAACAUAAAACUAUCAGUUUGAAUCUGGUUACUUCCA